rnacentral:lncRNA from 1 species
UUUAAUAUGUUUUUCCUCUGUAAACAUCUACAUAAACUCCUCGAAACAAUGAUGUUGAUGAUGAAACUGGAAAUGACGUUGAUGAUUUAGAAGAUCAGUCUCUUGCAGAAAUUGUGAUGGAUCAGGAAGAGCUAAGUGACCAUUAUUAGGUAGUGAAGUACCAAUCAUUUCUUAUUUCUCCACAAGCCUGAUAGUUUUGUUUUUCAUUUGCGGUCAAGUAAUAAAUAAUACUUUUAUGAUGCAUUAUUGGUCCAUCUUUCACAACAUAAUUGGCAUAUGGCUGUUGCGAAAGAUUGUGGAUUAGCUAGAACACAAAGCAAAUAGAUAAGAAAAAUAACACAAAGGUUUUCUCCAACCAGCAAGGAAAGGUCUCGUUUUGGUUUUGUAGAAUGAAUGUUAAAAGCAAGAUGCUCAGAAUCGUAUGAUUCAAUACCUAACAAAAUGAUUAUAUUAUAGA